AGUGAACGCUGGCGGUAGGCCUAACACAUGCAAGUCGAACGGCAGCACAGUAAGAGCUUGCUCUUACGGGUGGCGAGUGGCGGACGGGUGAGGAAUACAUCGGAAUCUACUUUUUCGUGGGGGAUAACGUAGGGAAACUUACGCUAAUACCGCAUACGACCUACGGGUGAAAGCAGGGGAUCUUCGGACCUUUCGCGAUUGAAUGAGCCGAUGUCGGAUUAGCUAGUUGGCUGGGUAAAGGCCCACCAAGGCGACGAUCCGUAGCUGGUCUGAGAGGAUGAUCAGCCACACUGGAACUGAGACACGGUCCAGACUCCUACGGGAGGCAGCAGUGGGGAAUAUUGGACAAUGGGCGCAAGCCUGAUCCAGCCAUACCGCGUGGGUGAAGAAGGCCUUCGGGUUGUAAAGCCCUUUUGUUGGGAAAGAAAAGCAGCAGGUUAAUACCCCGCUGUUCUGACGGUACCCAAAGAAUAAGCACCGGCUAACUUCGUG
rnacentral:rRNA from 1 species